UUUAUCGGAGAGUUUGAUCCUGGCUCAGGACGAACGCUGGCGGCGUGCCUAAUACAUGCAAGUCGAGCGGACAGAUGGGAGCUUGCUCCCUGAUGUUAGCGGCGGACGGGUGAGUAACACGUGGGUAACCUGCCUGUAAGACUGGGAUAACUCCGGGAAACCGGGGCUAAUACCGGAUGGUUGUCUGAACCGCAUGGUUCAGACAUAAAAGGUGGCUUCGGCUACCACUUACAGAUGGACCCGCGGCGCAUUAGCUAGUUGGUGAGGUAACGGCUCACCAAGGCGACGAUGCGUAG
rnacentral:rRNA from 1 species